rnacentral:pre_miRNA from 1 species
AGGAGGAACACCCCCAGUGGCGGGGACCAGCUCUGGAGCCCUGGAGUCAGCUCCUGCAUUAUCUACAGAGCUCUCUGUCUGCAGGGCCUGGAGGCUCUGGGGGCGG